rnacentral:rRNA from 1 species
AUGGGGUUCCUGGCCGCCUUCUCGAACCUGCUCGCCCUGAUUUCCGCCGCAUGUAGCAACGCGGGGAAGCUGCCGGCUGCUCUCAUCUCCUGCGGCGGCGUCGAUGCAGCUGCGGCGCUCUGCCUCGUCAUAUCCAAGGCGCCCGGAGGUAUAUUUCUCCACCACGGCAAAGCACCCUUCUUCUUGUACUACGGCAUCCUCGUCGCCGUGUUCGUCUUCGGGCUGGUCUAG